UUACGGCCAUAUCAGGUUGAAACACCGGUUCCCAUCCGAUCACCAAAUUAAGCAACGUGGAGCCUGGCCAGUAGCUAGAUGGGUGACCAAUUGGGAAUGCAAGUUACUGUAAG